rnacentral:rRNA from 1 species
UACGUAGGCAGCAAGCGUUGUUCGGAGUUACUGGGCGUAAAGGGUGCGUAGGCGGUUGUUUAAGUUUGGUGUGAAAGCCCCCGGCUCAACUGGGGAGGGUCACGCGAUACUGUUCGACUCGAAGGCAGGAGAGGGAAGUGGAAUUCCCGGUGUAGUGGUGAAAUGCGUAGAUAUCGGGAGGAACACCAGUGGCGAAGGCGACUUCCUGGCCUGUUCUUGACGCUGAGGCGCGAAAGCUAGGGUAGCAAACGGG